UCAAAAUACAGCCCGUGUCUCACCACUUCUAUAAAGGAAGCCUCAGUCCUGCUUCUGUGGGAAGAAGGGUUCACAGCCUUCCCCUUGCACAACGAAUGGUCUGAGCAAGGGGAAGCUGAUCCCGGCCCUGGCUACCUGAUACUAUCAUCCAGAUGGCACAGCAGACUCAAGCCCUCCAUGCCAGAACCCAGGAUUAUGGUUGACUAGGAGGCUGGGGCUCUUGGGGACAAAAAUUUUUUUUUGGACAAAAAUAUACAUAAAUGCUGGAGAGAGAUGGCGUCUGUUAUUGUGCUCAGUUGUUAAGAGAGAGGAAGAAGGCAAAAAUAACGCUGAUGCUGUGGGUAACCCUCCUUCUACCACUUACUUCACAAGCUACUACUCUUCUGGCAUCCUCUUCCACAAGUAAACUUCAAGUCUUUGCAAGGUGGAGAAGAUCAUUCCAGGACAAUGAAAUCUUUUGCAGUAUGCUCCUUUGGGGAUCCUGACUCAGCUGGCAUCCUGUGGAAUGUUCUGGGUUGUUUGCCUUCCCUUCAAAACAAGUCCCCCGCACCAGUCUUUGUAGUCUUCGCACCAGCUGUUUUCACUUCCAAAGUGGAUCAUUCAGAAUGCCUAAUGAAGAGUUCAGAAGCAUGGGAAGUGUUCCUUUAGCCUCAAUCCCUGAAAAGAAGAUGCAAGGGGUGGAGUUCCAGCCUGAAGCAGAGCUGCAACCAACCUAAAGUCUGGGCUUCUUUGUGAAGAUGAGCACUCACAUCUGCCUUUGAUCAGGCCCAUGGCAGCCCAGGAUCAGAUCAGAAAGCAAAUGAGAUGAUAAAGUGGAUGAAACCACACCUCGAGAAACGCAUGCUUUGAUAAGAAGUGCUUCUUCUGAUGGACUCUGGAAUGAAGUCUUGUGAAACAUAUCUGAACUGAAUCCUGGCAUAGAGUAUAACUGAAACUGAUCAGCCACCUACAUGUAAUGGCAGUGGGCUGAAGAUAUCCCAAGAGGAUUCACUGGGGAGCCACACGGUAGUAGUCACAUGGAAACUGCAAAUUUCAGUGAGAAAGAUUCUAUAAGGCAAUGGCAAAAGUCAAGUUUGGAGGGCCUGGGGCGUGGCACAGAAGUAUGUGGUAUCUUAAUUUGCGAGGCUCCAGUUGCUGGACAAAACAGGGUAGAGGAAAGGCGUUUUCCCUCCCCUAGACAUCCAGAGAUGAGAUAUCAGCCUCAGAUGACUUGUGAGUAAUUAUUAUUAUAUAUAGUACUUGCCUGAGUAUGGUGCUUUGAAACUGUUAUCUUGAAGUUAUUUUCCUUAUGCAGUCAGUUUUCUACCUAACAGUCAACAUAACCUUCUAAAUAUUUAAAUUGCAGGAUAACACAUAUUUUCCUAAACUACUUCAAUGGCUUUCCAUUGCUCCUAGGAUAAGAUCCAAAUUCCUGAUCCUAGCCUCUGCCCUGUGUCUUAAGACUUCUACUUAUUCACUCUGCUCAGCAGUAUAGUCAUCCCUUCAGUUCCUUCAACCUGGCAGACUUGGCAGUCAGGGAUUUUACACAUGAUGUUCCCUGUGCCUGGAAAAUACUUUCUCCCACUUUUCUCUUGGUUAAUUCUUCCUCAUCCUUUAGGCCUCAACUUAAUCAAUCAAUUAAUUAUUUUCUUAUUUUUUGGCCACAC